rnacentral:rRNA from 1 species
AUGGCUCAGGAUGAACGCUAGCUACAGGCUUAACACAUGCAAGUCGAGGGGCAGCAUAACGAAAGCUUGCUUUGUUGAUGGCGACCGGCGCACGGGUGAGUAACGCGUAUCCAACCUUCCUGUAGUAGAGGAUAGCCCGGCGAAAGUCGGAUUAAUACUCUAUGUUGUAUUUAGAAGACAUCUGAAGAAUACCAAAGGUUUACCGCUAUAGGAUGGGGGAUGCGUCUGAUUAGGUUGUUGGCGGGGUAACGGCCCACCAAGCCCACGAUCAGUAGGGGUUCUGAGAGGAAGGUCCCCCACAUUGGAACUGAGACACGGUCCAAACUCCUACGGGAGGCAGCAGUGAGGAAUAUUGGUCAAUGGACGCAAGUCUGAACCAGCCAAGUAGCGUGCCAGGAUGACGGCCCUAUGGGUUGUAAACUGCUUUUAUAUAGGGAUAAAGUGCACUACGUGUAGUGUUUUGUAGGUACUAUAUGAAUAAGGACCGGCUAAUUCCGUGCCAGCCGCCGC